UUCGCGGUGAACUCCCACGCCCCCUCGGUCUCCACCAGGUUGCGGUCGCCGAAGUAGUCCCCGUCGGCCAGGGUGCCCAGCACGGUCUCGUCCCCGUACUUGCCCGCACCGACCUUGCUGACCUUGCCGUGCGCGAUCAGCACGACCUGGUCGGCGGCCUGCCCGGCCGCCACGAUGGUCUCCCCCGCGCUGAACUCGCGCUGGGUGAACCGCCCGGCCAGCGCGGUCAGCACCGCCAUGUCCUCGAAGCCGCGCAGGAUCGACAGCUCGCCCAGCUCGGCGGGGAUCACCCGCACUUCGGCGCCGGUGGCCACGAACUCGAUGCGCCCGUCACCCACCGUGUAGCUCAGCCGCCGGUUCACCCGGUACACGCCACCGUUGACCUGCACCCAGGGCAGCACCCGCAGCAGCCAGCGCGAGGUGAUCCCCUGCAUCUGGGGGACCGACUUGGUGGUGGUCGACAGGUUCCGCGCGGCGGCGGUCCCCAGGCUCAGCUGGGACUGACUCU
rfam:Kutzneria albida DSM 43870, complete genome.